rnacentral:rRNA from 1 species
UACGUAGGGUGCGAGCGUUAAUCGGAAUUACUGGGCGUAAAGCGUGCGCAGGCGGUUUUGUAAGCCAGAUGUGAAAUCCCCGGGCUUAACCUGGGAAUCGGCAUUUGGGACUGCAAGGCUUGAGUGCGGCAGAGGAGACUGGAAUCCUGGUGUAGCAGUGAAAUGCGUAGAGUAAUCAGGAGGAACACCGAUGGCGAAGGCAGGUCUCUGGGCUGACACUGACGCUCAUGCAC